rnacentral:rRNA from 1 species
CCUACGGGUGGCAGCAGUAGGGAAUCUUCGGCAAUGGACGAAAGUCUGACCGAGCAACGCCGCGUGAGUGAAGAAGGUUUUCGGAUCGUAAAACUCUGUUGUUAGAGAAGAACAAGGAUGAGAGUAACUGUUCAUCCCUUGACGGUAUCUAACCAGAAAGCCACGGCUAACUACGUGCCAGCAGCCGCGGUAAUACGUAGGUGGCAAGCGUUGUCCGGAUUUAUUGGGCGUAAAGCGAGCGCAGGCGGUUUCUUAAGUCUGAUGUGAAAGCCCCCGGCUCAACCGGGGAGGGUCAUUGGAAACUGGGAGACUUGAGUGCAGAAGGGGAGAGUGGAAUUCCAUGUGUAGCGGUGAAAUGCGUAGAUAUAUGGAGGAACACCAGUGGCGAAGGCGGCUCUCUGGUCUGUAACUGACGCUGAGGCUCGAAAGCGUGGGGAGCAAACAGGAUUAGAUACCCUGGUAGUC